rnacentral:rRNA from 1 species
UACGUAGGCAGCGAGCGUUGUUCGGAGUUACUGGGCGUAAAGGGUGUGUAGGCGGUUUUCUAAGUUUGGUGUGAAAUCUCCCGGCUCAACCGGGAGGGUGCGCCGAAAACUGGGAGACUAGAGUGCGGGAUGGGAGAGUAGAAUUCCUGGUGUAGCGGUGAAAUGCGUAGAUAUCAGGAGGAACACCUGUGGCGAAAGCGGCUCACUGGACCAUAACUGACGCUGAUGCACGAAAGCUAGGGGAGCAAACAGG